rnacentral:lncRNA from 1 species
AAUCUUAUUUAUUUUCCAUGUAUUAUUAUUAUAUAUAUUUUUAAAUAGGUAGAUAUUGAAAAAUGAAAAAAAUGUCCAAGAAUAAAAAAAAAAUCAGGCUCAAAGGAAGAAUUUGAGCCCAAAACACAAGAAAAAAACAAAAAGAUAUGGGAGUGCCAAGAUGAGAAAUGGGGUGUGCGGAUCAGAAGAGAUACUUUUUUUUGAAAAAAACUAGCUCAGAAAUGCUGGCCAAGGCCUUUCUUCCCAGCAGAAACAAUAGGGAUUCUGCACCUUUCUCUCAUUUGUGCUCAAACCCAAGAGACUCAGGGUCUCUUUCUCCGGACGAAAUAGCCUAGGAAAGGGCUUGCCUCCCCUGCGCACAUGCGCCACCGCCCCAUCAGACUAGCCACCGCGACGGACUCUCUACUCAGUCCACAGCGUCGUCGGGGACACCAAGCUAAAGCUACUGCCGGCCGCGGCGUUAGAUUCGUCUCUUUUCUCUUCUUUGCUCGCAAACAGAGAGACCCUUUUCCUCUCCUCCGCCACCAACGAAACUGGCCGCCGCCGCCUCUGCCAAACUGGCCGCCGUUCACUACCUGAUGCAGCGCCAGCCGUGGCGUCGGAUUCUUCCUCAGCCUGAUUUUCCCCGCCGCGACUCUCGAACAUUAGAGAUUUAGGAAUUUGCUAUUGAAUUUUGCUCCUUUUCUGUAGUUGUCACGCCGCUAUCCUAGAGGUGGUGGUGGAGUGACUGUUGAAGACAUUUGAUUGGGAUUCCGCUUCGGGCUUGGGGGUUCAAUUGUUGGGGUUAGUUCGUUUGGAUUUUGGGAUGUUGAUUUGGCUUCUUCUGUUGUUUUUUUUUUUUUUUUCUAAAUGCAGGGGAUCAAAUGACUUUGAUGACGAAGAGGAAUCAAAGAGUGGAUUACGCAGGUUUCAUGUUGAAGAUGAAGUGUGCUUAUGCGUUGGAUGAUGACGGAGAAAGGGGAAUAUUCACACCACAAUGUCAUACAUAAGCAGAGCAACAACAAGCAUAAAACGAAGUAUACAAUGCAGCAAGCCUACUCUAUUAGAGCAUGACGACACUAGUGAGCAAGGUAAUGCUGAUCUCUUGAAGCUUUGUUUGCUAUUGUCAGUUUCGUGUAUCUGAUGUCUUCUUCCCCUCUUUUGGCUGGCUUUAUUUUUUUCUUUGCAGGUGAAUGAUGGAUGUUUUAACAAGGGAUGGAUGAUGAUCCAAGAUUGGGUGAGAAGCGUCUAGAUUUUUUCUUAGGCCGUGGUAGUAGUUUCUCCCCCAAAAAAUAUCCUCUCCGUUUUUUUGAUUUUUAUGAUGCCCCCUCAACUAAAAUUCUCUAACCGUUUUCUUCGCGCCCACAAUCCCCAAAUGCGCCCCCCUUGUCAACAAACUUCUCUCCUUUUCUUUCACGUUUUCUCCCUUCUCUAUUUUGUUACGAUUUCUUUUUUAUCAUUUAUUUUUUAAUUAUAUUAAAACAAAAGUAAAAAUGAAAAUUAAAAGGUAAAAAUAAAAUUACAGAGGAAGUUCAAAAUUAAAAGUAAAACAUAAAAAAUAAAAAUCAAAAUAAGUAAAUAAAAAUAAUAAAAUACAAUAAAACCAAAAAAACAAGAACAAACUUUUUC